CCUACGGGUGGCAGCAGUGGGGAAUAUUGGGCAAUGGGCGCAAGCCUGACCCAGCAACGCCGCGUGAAGGAAGAAGGCUUUCGGGUUGUAAACUUCUUUUCUCAGGGACGAAGCAAGUGACGGUACCUGAGGAAUAAGCCACGGCUAACUACGUGCCAGCAGCCGCGGUAAUACGGAGGAUGCGAGCGUUAUCCGGAUUUAUUGGGUUUAAAGGGUGCGUAGGCGGAAUGCCAAGUCAGCGGUAAAAUCGCGGGGCUCAACCUCGCUCCGCCGUUGAAACUGGCGUUCUUGAGUGGGCGAGAGGUAUGCGGAAUGCGUGGUGUAGCGGUGAAAUGCAUAGAUAUCACGCAGAACUCCGAUUGCGAAGGCAGCAUACCGGCGCCCAACUGACGCUGAAGCACGAAAGCGUGGGGAGCAAAUAGGAUUAGAUACCCGUGUAGUC
rnacentral:rRNA from 1 species